rnacentral:rRNA from 1 species
UCCUACGGGGGGCAGCAGUGAGGAAUAUUGGUCAAUGGGCGGGAGCCUGAACCAGCCAAGUCGCGUGAGGGAUGACGGCCCUAUGGGUUGUAAACCUCUUUUGCCGGGGAGCAAAGUGCCGCACGUGUGCGGUUUGGAGAGUACCCGGAGAAAAAGCAUCGGCUAACUCCGUGCCAGCAGCCGCGGUAAUACGGAGGAUGCGAGCGUUAUCCGGAUUUAUUGGGUUUAAAGGGUGCGUAGGCGGGCUUUUAAGUCAGCGGUAAAAAUUCGGGGCUCAACCCCGUCCGGCCGUUGAAACUGGGGGC